UACGUAGGGUGCGAGCGUUGUCCGGAAUUAUUGGGCGUAAAGAGCUCGUAGGCGGCUUGUCGCGUCGGCUGUGAAAACUCGGGGCUCAACCCCGAGCCUGCAGUCGAUACGGGCAGGCUGGAGUCCGGCAGGGGAGACUGGAAUUCCUGGUGUAGCGGUGAAAUGCGCAGAUAUCAGGAGGAACACCUAUUGCGAAGGCAGCUCGCUGGGACGUAACUGACGCUGAGACGCGAAAGCGUGGGGAGCAAACAGG
rnacentral:rRNA from 1 species